AGCGGAGUGGCACAGAUGGCUACUGCUUUAGUUCGCGGGUUCGAGUCCCGCCUCCGCUC
rnacentral:tRNA from 1 species